UGGGGAAUUUUGGACAAUGGGCGAAAGCCUGAUCCAGCAAUGCCGCGUGUGUGAAGAAGGCCUUCGGGUUGUAAAGCACUUUUGUCCGGAAAGAAAUCCUUGGCUCUAAUACAGUCGGGGGAUGACGGUACCGGAAGAAUAAGCACCGGCUAACUACGUGCCAGCAGCCGCGGUAAUACGUAGGGUGCAAGCGUUAAUCGGAAUUACUGGGCGUAAAGCGUGCGCAGGCGGUUUGCUAAGACCGAUGUGAAAUCCCCGGGCUCAACCUGGGAACUGCAUUGGUGACUGGCAGGCUAGAGUAUGGCAGAGGGGGGUAGAAUUCCACGUGUAGCAGUGAAAUGCGUAGAGAUGUGGAGGAAUACCGAUGGCGAAGGCAGCCCCCUGGGCCAAUACUGACGCUCAUGCACGAAAGCGUGGGGAGCAAACAGGAUUAGAUACCCUGGUAGUCCACGCCCUAAACGAUGUCAACUAGUUGUUGGGGAUUCAUUUCCUUAGUAACGUAGCUAACGCGUGAAGUUGACCGCCUGGGGAGUACGGUCGCAAGAUUAAAACUCAAAUGAAUUGACGGGGUCAUA
rnacentral:rRNA from 1 species